rnacentral:rRNA from 1 species
UACGAAGGGUGCAAACGUUGCUCGGAUUUACUGGGCGUAAAGGGCGCGCAGGCGGCUCAUUUUGUCAGGCGUGAAAGCCCCGGGCUUAACCUGGGAACUGCGUUUGAUACGGAUGGGCUAGAGUUCGGGAGAGGAGAGUGGAAUUCCCAGUGUAGAGGUGAAAUUCGUAGAUAUUGGGAAGAACACCGGUGGCGAAGGCGGCUCUCUGGACCGGUACUGACGCUGAGGUGCGAAAGCGUGGGGAGCAAACAGG